AGCGAACGCUGGCGGCAGGCCUAACACAUGCAAGUCGAACGGAUCCUUCGGGAUUAGUGGCGGACGGGUGAGUAACACGUGGAACGUGCCUUUUGGUUCGGAACAACUCAGGGAAACUUGAGCUAAUACCGAAUGUGCCCUUCGGGGAAGAUUUAUCGCCAUUAGAGCGGCCCGCGUCUGAUUAGCUAGUUGGUGAGGUAGAGGCUCACCAAGGCUACGAUCAGUAGCUGGUCUGAGAGGAUGAUCAGCCACAUUGGGACUGAGACACGGCCCAAACUCCUACGGGAGGCAGCAGUGGGGAUCUUGCGCAAUGGGCGAAAGCCUGACGCAGCCAUGCCGCGUGAAUGAUGAAGGUCUUAGGAUUGUAAAUUCUUUCACCGGGGACGAUAAUGACGGUACCCGGAGAAGAAGCCCCGGCUAACUCGUGCCAGCAGCCGCGG
rnacentral:rRNA from 1 species